rnacentral:misc_RNA from 1 species
UAUAGAUUUAUAGGCACAAAGGCCCAUUGAUUACAUUCUGUAAACAUACAUUAGGGUAUAUGAAGAAACAUAGACCUGGAAAUGUAAGAAGAGACAAAAAGUCAAUCCUCAAUCCUGAAUGCUAAAAGCAAUCAGAGAGAUACCCAAGGUCUACAAAAGGUGCACAGGUGGAGAUACAAAGAUGACAAGUGUGCACAUGCUCCCUAGAGAACCAGCAACAACUCAUCAGGUUUAUUUCAAUAAUGAUCCUUCCGCAGGUUCACCUACGGAAA